AUGGCAUGGAAAACAAUUUUGUUCCAUGCUCCAUGGCAUCAGAUGGCAUGGAAAACAAUUCAUGUUCUACAGUGCCGUGUUCAACUUGCUCAUCCUCUGAUGAUGACAUCUCUUUUAAUACAUUAUUCACCUCAGGAGCUGCAUGUAAAAUUUAAAAUCAAUAUGGUUUUCUUAUUAAUGUUAAAUCAGCAAAGCUAUCAGCAUGGAACAAAUAAAAAAGGACUGUGGAUGACAAGAAAUCGCUUCUAUUUAGUUAAGAGGUCCAUUUCAUGCUAUCAAGGACACUUCCAGUUUUUCUUUAGUUUCAUCAAAGGUUCAUCAAUACAGAUGCUAAAAUCUAGCAUAUCACAUGGGAUGGAUCAGCUAAAGUAA
rnacentral:rRNA from 1 species